GUGUGUACUUUGUGGUUAAGGAAGCAUUUAAUCCCACAAUGAAUAUUUUAAUUGCUUUAUUAUUUUCUGAAAGCAGAUCUAACUUGCUUUGUUUUGAUUUAUUCCAUUGUUCUCCUUUUCUUUCUUUUGUACCUCCAGCGUAUCACCUUUUCUCUGGAACCCCCUCCAACAUUCACACUUCAGAUUAGAGUUGCGCAAGCCAGAUUCGUGCAUGGAUGAGGAGGACAUGUCCCUAGACUCGGAUGAGGAUGCAACCAUGCAAGCGGAGGACAGGGCAGUGGAGAAGCAGGCCACUCUACCUCUUCAACCUGUGAGCGAGGACAUUCUGCCCCCUCUCUCUGACCCACAUAAAACAGUCCCUCUGUCCUCUUGUUCUGUGGAUUACAAUGUUCUCAAGGCGGCCAUCUCACAGUAUAAAGCUACUAAGCAGGCUGGAACAUCCAUGCCUGGGGGGGAGGACAACUUGGUUGGUUUUGGUGUGAACCCCCACCAGAGCUACUUGUACCCCAACUCAGCACAGUGGAGCCCCUAUUCCGGUUCUCCAGGCUAUCACAUGAGCUCUACCUAUUCUUCACCUGCAUGCUCAACUUUGCAAGGACAGGAGUACAGCCAAGUGAGCAGCAUGAGUGUAACCCCUGCCAGCACUGUCCCCCUGUCCCAAACUGCUAAUCAGGCUAACCCCAACUCUUCUUGUGUGAACCCACCUGCUAACACUGCUCCCCCGGGCCUGUCCCAAACCUCCUGCAGGGAGGACAUAGUUCCGGAUGGGCUGUCCUGCUCUCAACCCUUGCCUCAGGCUCAAACUCAGUCUCUUGAUGACAGUCAGCCAUUUUUGCCUGGCUCUCAAGAUACACAGACUAAAGCCAUGGAACCUCCUGUCCUCGCUUCCUCUUCUUCCUCCUCUAUACCUUGCACUAUGCCCAGCUACCCAGAUGGUCCUGUAUUCCCUGGGCCCAUACCCACACCCCCUGUGCCACCCAUGUAUAACUGGGCACCUCCAACAAGGGCACAGAAUAGCUAUGCUUCGGGGGGGAACACAGCACCUUUUGGGAAGAAUGAAGGUGCAGCAUCAACUGAAGGAUUAUGCAUAGGGCCUGGCGAGGGUUUGACUCUUAAUAAUAAAGUUGAUGGAAGUACGUCUGGCACACCGCCUUCCUCAUUACAGUACCAGGAUGGAGGGACUGAGAAAAGCAACACAUCGGGCAGUGUAAUGCCCUGCAGUCAGGGGAGUAGGACAUCAGUAGACUCUUGCACAGAGAGCCACAGAGGUGGCAUGACACAUGCCCGAGGCAUGACACAUGUCCGAGGCAUGUCUGGAGGGGGCAUGCCUUGCAACCCCAGAGGGCUCCUACCCCGGCCUGGAGUCACGAUGCGUCCUGCAUGCCGAGGAGGGCCACACGGGCCGAUCCCACACAGUGGGAACCGCAUGUUUGGCCCCCGAGGGCCCAUUCCAGGGCUUAUGGACAUCAGACGUGGAGGCUUCAGAGGUAGAGGAAUGCCCCCCAUGCCCAUGAGGUCCAGACCGGGCAGAGGGUCAAUGUGGGGAGGAACGCACUGUAACCGGGGCUAUGGUCCUCCAAAGGAUUACUACUCAGACUACACUUACUAAAAGGUUGGGAGCAGUCAGUACUUACAGACUACUGCCAUACAGAAUGUAUAUAGUCAACAUGAAGAGCACAUUUAAAUUUAAGGAAAAAAAGAGAAAGAAUUGGUUUUGUACCAUUAGAUCAACAAAUCAGACUGCGACCAGGAUUGUGUAACUCAAAAAUGCUCUUCUUUAAUGAGUUGUUUGAAACCUUGUUCAGACCACUAUAUUUAUAUCGCCAAGAAAUGUAAUUGCCUUUCAAUGUUUUUUUUUGUGUUAUAAUUUUCAAAAUGGUUUGUGAACAAGGGGCAAACGCAGACAAUAUUUUUUUAAAAAGAAAAAAGUGAAUCACUCUUCAUUUUAGCUGCUUUUGUUUUGUUUUGUUUUGUUUUUUUACAUUCUUGGUUGUACAAAUGUUCUAUUAAACAAGGUUGUAUCAAACAUAUUGUGUUGAGUAUAUUACCCUGAGAUUCUUUUAUUUAUAUUUAUGUUAAUACAUUUCAAAGCAUUGUUUGUUUACAGAUAUCGUAUUGAGGCUGUUGAAUCCCGCACACUUCUGCUGUCUGACCAAAAGAGGGCAGCUUUUCCUCUCGGUUUGGAGGAAUGUGGCAGAAUUGGAAUUAAGUUUCACCAUGCAGA
ensembl:lncRNA